UAUUUAUACAUCUUGUUAUUGAUAAGUGUGGGGCUUUGCAGAGCUCCCUUCCCCCUUCCCCAAGUGCCCCCUUCCCCACGGGUGCCCCCUUUCCCCCGCACCGGGCUCCCCCCGCGCCCCGCAUGCGGGAGCCCCUCGGAAGGAAGACACGCGUGGGCGUGGGGUCCCCCCGCGGAAAGCAGCGAGCUGCGAGCUGCCGAACCCGGCCGGAGCUUUUUAUUUGCUUCAUUUCGUUCCCCCCCACACCUCCCCCCUGCCAGCACUGCUCUCCCGGGCGGCCGCUGUCACCGGGGAGACCGGGGCAGCCCCGGCCGCAUCGGCACGCUGGAUGUCCCGGCGGAUUUUCUCACAGUUUGCGGGAGGCGCAGACAUGGAAAUGAGCUCAUUACGGGGGGGAGUGGCAGCCCUGGAGGCCUCCCCGCCCCCGGCCCGGCCCGGCCCGGCCCGGCUCGGCCCGGCCCGCUGCAACCCCGGGGGCUGCGGGAGAGCCCCCUCCUCUCGGUGUUUUUUGGUUUUUUUUUUGGGGGGGGGGGGGGAGAGCGCAGAGCCCCACAGUGGGCGCUCUUAACCCCCUGCACGCCGGGGGGCCGCUGCUGCCGGCGGGGGCGGCCUGGAGAGCCCCGAGGACCCCCCUUCGUAUCCCCCCUCUUCCCUCCCCUCCGGCCUGCACCCCCGCAGCCCCCGCCCCCGAGCUCCCACGGGCAGCACCCAGCGUGCGCGGCGCUCCCCCCGCCAGGUGAUGUCAGCGGGGAGAAGCGAAGUUUGCAAAGCAAACGAGCCGGGAAGGGUAGAGCUGAGCAAACAAACAAACAAAUUGGAAAAAAAAAAUCCAGAUUUUUCACUCGAAGGUCAAUAGGGAUUCAUCGUUCGCUUCCCCUGGCUGCAGGCAGGGUUUGCAAUCCCCAUGCCCCCCGGAUCUCUCUUUUGGGGAAUUUCAGUGCUCGGGUCUGUGUUGUCGCCACUUUCCUCCGGUGGGUUCUUGCAAACAAGCAAACAAACAAACAAAAAAAAAAAAAACCGCACUGUGGCAGGGCUGCGGCCACUGCCCCUGGUCCUUGGGGCGGUGGAGCUCCGGCUGCCCGGGCUGGGGGGUCGGGACCCCCCGGGUCCACACCGCUGCUCCUGCCCCGGGCAGCGGCGGGGACGCGCCGGGAGGGAGCGGGAAGGGGCUGGGGCGGGCUUGCUGCUGCAGAGCAGGGUUUAGCUGCCGUUAUCCCGGCCUCUUGUUUGGGUCAAAACUGCAAAACUAAAGGAAGGGGAAAAAAAAAAUGCCGUGUUUGGUAUCUCUGCCUCCAUCUCUUGACACCCCUGGCUGCGGGAGGGCUGAUACGCAUCGCCCUCAGCUCCCGCUGGCGGAGCCCCGGGCGCGCAUCAAAGCGCGCAUUGUUCGGCGCUCGGGGGGAGCCGACAAGACGGGGCAGAGGCUCCGCACCGCUGCCAGCUCCCCUCGGCCAAAGUUUUCCAAGUCAGCUCCUGCCGGCAGAAUUGCCCUCGGAGAGCCCGGCGGUGCGGGAGAGGAGAGAGCUCCGGGCUCAGCCUAGGCUUGGGCGCAAGGGAAAAUCCCGCGCAGCGCACAAAGCUCUCCGCGGAGCAGCCGCGCAGAUUAGGGGAUGGGUGGGGGGGACACAACCGCGACGGGAUGCGCCCCCCCGUCGCUAA
rnacentral:lncRNA from 1 species